CGCCAGACUCCUACGGGAGGCAGCAGUGGGGGAUAUUGCACAAUGGGGGAAACCCUGAUGCAGCGACGCCGCGUGUGGGAAGACGGUCCUCUGGAUUGUAAACCACUGUCCCCAGGGACGAAGAUGACGGUACCUGGGGAGGAAGCUCCGGCUAACUACGUGCCAGCAGCCGCGGUAAUACGUAGGGAGCGAGCGUUGUCCGGAAUUACUGGGUGUAAAGGGGGCGCAGACGGCGAUGCAAGCCAGGAGUGAAAGCCCGGGGCCCAACCCCGGGACUGCUCUUGGAACUGCGUGGCUGGAGUGCAGGAGGGGCAGGCGGAAUUCCUAGUGUAGCGGUGAAAUGCGUAGAUAUUAGGAGGAACACCGGUGGCGAAGGCGGCUUACUGGACUGUAACUGACGUUGAGGCUCGAAGGCGUGGGGAGCAAACAGGAUUAGAUACCCCGGUACUA
rnacentral:rRNA from 1 species